GUGGGGAAUUUUGGACAAUGGGCGCAAGCCUGAUCCAGCAAUGUCGCGUGUGUGAAGAAGGCCUUCGGGUUGUAAAGCACUUUUGGCAGGAAAGAAAUAGUGCGUGCUAAUACCAUGCGCGAAUGACGGUACCUGCAGAAUAAGCACCGGCUAACUACGUGCCAGCAGCCGCGGUAAGACGUAGGGUGCAAGCGUUAAUCGGAAUUACUGGGCGUAAAGCGUGCGCAGGCGGUUUUGUAAGACAGGUGUGAAAUCCCCGGGCUCAACCUGGGAACUGCACUGGUGACUGCAAGGCUAGAGUGGGUCAGAGGGAGGUGGAAUUCCGCGUGUAGCAGUGAAAUGAGUAGAGAUGCGGAGGAACACCGAUGGCGAAGGCAGCCUCCUGGGAUAACACUGACGCUCAGGCACGAAAGCGUGGGGAGCAAACAGGAUUAGAAACCCCAGUAGUCC
rnacentral:rRNA from 1 species